CAAUGCUUCUGAUAGUGAAAGCAGUUCAGAUGAUGAUCCCAGCACUAUGUCAUUUGCCAGUGCUGAAGCUGAAAGUGUUGAUGGCUCCUUGGAAAACCCUUGGGACAUAUUUCCAGGGAUAACAUUGACCUCCUCCAAGGAAAUGUCAGACACGCAGCCCAGCCUUCCCAAUACACAGCAGAUGCUCCUGGCUAAUACAGCUGAGGAAGAGGAGGCUGCAAGCUCCAGUAGCAGCACCCC